UACAGAGGUCCCAAGCGUUGUUCGGAUUCACUGGGCGUAAAGGGUGCGCAGGCGGUCGGGUAAGUCUGAUGUGAAAUCCCGCAGCUCAACUGCGGAAUGGCAUUGGAUACUAUUUGGCUAGAGGGUUGGAGGGGGGACUGGAAUUCUCGGUGUAGCAGUGAAAUGCGUAGAUAUCGAGAGGAACACCAGUGGCGAAGGCGAGUCCCUGGACAGCUCCUGACGCUGAGGCACGAAAGCUAGGGGAGCAAACAGG
rnacentral:rRNA from 1 species